rnacentral:tmRNA from 2 species
GGGGCUGUAACGGUUUCGACGUGUUGGCGAACGUUAUUCUAUGAUGCAGGCCGAGAGCGAGCUAACUCUCGUAAAUAAAUGGCUCAAAACAAGUACAUGCGAACAACAUCGUACCUUUUGCUCGUAAGCGCGUAGCUGUAGCUGCCGCCUAAAAAACCACUCUUGGUUCGAGCGUCUGCGGUUUGACUCCGUUAAGGAUCGUAGACCAACCCCCAACGGAUGCUCCAGUUUCUUGCCUCUGGUUGAGAACUGGCUAAGACUUCACCAGAGAAUCCCAUCGUCAGGGAUAAAUGACGAUUCCUGCUUCGAGGGUUAGAGAAGCUAAGCCUGUGAGUGAGUGGGGUAUUAAUAACCAGUGCGGACAGGAGUUCGACUCUCCUCAGCUCCACUU